CUUGGUGUUACUGCGAAGGGGGGACGGAGAAGGCUAUGUUAGCCGGGCGACGGUUGUCCCGGUUUAAGCAUGUAGGCUGGUUGUCCAGGCAAAUCCGGAUAAUCAAGGCUGAGGUGUGAUGACGAGGCACUACGGUGCUGAAGUAACAAAUGCCCUGCUUCCAGGAAAAGCCUCUAAGCAUCAGGUAACAUCAAAUCGUACCCCAAACCGACACAGGUGGUCAGGUAGAGAAUACCAAGGCGCUUGAGAGAACUC
rnacentral:rRNA from 1 species